UACAGAGGGUGCGAGCGUUAAUCGGAAUUACUGGGCGUAAAGCGCGCGUAGGCGGCUUUGCGAGUCGGGUGUGAAAUCCCCAGGCUUAACCUGGGAACUGCAUUCGAGACUGCAUUGCUAGAGUAUGGGAGAGGGAAGUGGAAUUUCCGGUGUAGCGGUGAAAUGCGUAGAUAUCGGAAGGAACAUCAGUGGCGAAAGCGACUUCCUGGACAAAUACUGACGCUCAUGUGCGAAAGCGUGGGGAGCAAACAGG
rnacentral:rRNA from 1 species